UACGUAGGAGGCGAGCGUUGUCCGGAUUUACUGGGCGUAAAGCGCGCGCAGGCGGCACACUAAGUACGAUGUGAAAUCUCCCUGCUCAACGGGGAGGGUGCAUAGUAAACUGGUGAGCUAGAGGACGGUAGAGGCGUGUGGAAUUCCGGGUGUAGUGGUGAAAUGCGUAGAGAUCCGGAGGAACACCAGUGGCGAAGGCGACACGCUGGGCCGUACCUGACGCUGAUACGCGACAGCAUGGGGAGCGAACGGG
rnacentral:rRNA from 1 species